CGGGCUAAGCAUGUAGUACCGGAGAUAGAGUGCCUUCGGACGGCGGUUCGACUCCGCCCACCUCCACCA
rnacentral:tmRNA from 1 species